UGGGGAAUUUUGGACAAUGGGGGAAACCCUGAUCCAGCCAUCCCGCGUGUGCGAUGAAGGCCUUCGGGUUGUAAAGCACUUUUGGCAGGAAAGAAACGUCGCGGGUUAAUACCCCGCGAAACUGACGGUACCUGCAGAAUAAGCACCGGCUAACUACGUGCCAGCAGCCGCGGUAAUACGUAGGGUGCAAGCGUUAAUCGGAAUUACUGGGCGUAAAGCGUGCGCAGGCGGUUCGGAAAGAAAGAUGUGAAAUCCCAGAGCUUAACUUUGGAACUGCAUUUUUAACUACCGGGCUAGAGUGUGUCAGAGGGAGGUGGAAUUCCGCGUGUAGCAGUGAAAUGCGUAGAUAUGCGGAGGAACACCGAUGGCGAAGGCAGCCUCCUGGGAUAACACUGACGCUCAUGCACGAAAGCGUGGGGAGCAAACAGGAUUAGAUACCCUGGUAGUCCACGCCCUAAACGAUGUCAACUAGCUGUUGGGGCCUUCGGGCCUUGGUAGCGCAGCUAACGCGUGAAGUUGACCGCCUGGGGGAGUACGGUCGCAAGAUUAAAAACUUAAAGGAAUUGAC
rnacentral:rRNA from 1 species